GCUGUGGGGCAACAGGAGGCAGGACUCAGGGGAUCAUCCAACAUGGCUUGGUCCCUUCUUCUCCUCUCCCUCCUUGCUCAGUGCACAGGGUCCUGGGCCCAGUCUGUGCUGAGUCAGCCGCCCUCAGUGUCUGGGAACCGAGGCCAGCAGGUCACCGUCUCCUGCACUGGAAGCAGCACCAAUGUUGGUAUCUUUGGUGUGAACUGGUACCAACAGCUCCCAGGCUCGGCCCCCAAACUCCUCAUCUAUGGUGAUAGCAAACGACCCUCGGGGAUCCCGGAUCGAUUCUCAGGUUCCAAGUCUGGUAGCUCGGGCUCCCUGACCGUCAGCGGGCUGCAGCCUGAGGACGAGGCUGAUUAUUACUGUCAGUCCAUAGACAGCAGUAGUACUCACACAGUGCUCCAGGCCUGUGGGGAA